UCCAGACUCCUACGGGAGGCAGCAGUGAGGAAUAUUGGUCAAUGGCCGAGAGGCUGAACCAGCCAAGUCGCGUGAGGGAAGAAUGUCCUAAGGAUUGUAAACCUCUUUUGUCGGGGAGCAAAAAGGCUCUGCGGAGUCGUAUUGAGAGUACCCGAAGAAAAAGCAUCGGCUAACUCCGUGCCAGCAGCCGCGGUAAUACGGAGGAUGCGAGCGUUAUCCGGAUUUAUUGGGUUUAAAGGGUGCGUAGGCGGACGCUUAAGUCGGGGGUAAAAUUGCGGGGCUCAACCUCGUCGAGCCGUUGAAACUGGGUGCCUUGAGUGGGCGAGAAGUACGCGGAAUGCGUGGUGUAGCGGUGAAAUGCAUAGAUAUCACGCAGAACUCCGAUUGCGAAGGCAGCGUACCGGCGCCCAACUGACGCUGAAGCACGAAGGCGUGGGUAUCGAACAGGAUUAGAUACCCCCGUA
rnacentral:rRNA from 1 species